rnacentral:rRNA from 1 species
UACGUAGGUGACAAGCGUUGUCCGGAUUACUGGCGUAAAGAGCGCGCAGGCGGUCGUUCAAGUCGAGUGUGAAAGCCCCCGGCUCAACUGGGGAGGGUCAUUCGAUACUGAUCGACUCGAAGGCAGGAGAGGGAAGUGGAAUUCCCGGUGUAGUGGUGAAAUGCGUAGAUAUCGGGAGGAACACCAGUGGCGAAGGCGACUUCCUGGCCUGUUCUUGACGCUGGAGGCGCGAAAGCUAGGGGAGCAAACAGG